rnacentral:rRNA from 1 species
UACGGGGGGGGCAAGCGUUGUUCGGAAUUACUGGGCGUAAAGGGCUCGUAGGCGGCCAACUAAGUCAGACGUGAAAUCCCUCGGCUUAACCGGGGAACUGCGUCUGAUACUGGAUGGCUUGAGUUUGGGAGAGGGAUGCGGAAUUCCAGGUGUAGCGGGUGAAAUGCGUAGAUAUCUGGAGGAACACCGGUGGCGAAGGCGGCAUCCUGGACCAACACUGACGCUGAGUGAGCGAAAGCCAGGGGGAGCAAACGGG